GCCAGACUCCUACGGGAGGCAGCAGUGAGGAAUAUUGGUCAAUGGGCGGGAGCCUGAACCAGCCAAGCCGCGUGAAGGAAGAAGGCGCCAAGCGUCGUAAACUUCUUUUGUCGGGGAACAAAGGGCGCCACGUGUGGCGUUGUGAGUGUACCCGAAGAAAAAGCAUCGGCUAACUCCGUGCCAGCAGCCGCGGUAAUACGGAGGAUGCGAGCGUUAUCCGGAUUUAUUGGGUUUAAAGGGUGCGUAGGCGGCAUUAUAAGUUAGUGGUAAAAUAUUGGGGCUUCACCUCACUACGCCAUUAAUACUGUAGAGCUAGAGAACAGACGAGGUAGGCGGAAUAAGUUAAGUAGCGGUGAAAUGCAUAGAUAUAACUUAGAACACCGAUAGCGAAGGCAGCUUACCAGACUGAGUCUGACGCUGAUGCACGAGAGCAUGGGUAGCGAACAGGAUUAGAUACCCGUGUA
rnacentral:rRNA from 1 species